AAAAGCCGUCACUGCUGAUUUUAAUAUCAUUAGAAGCAUUUCCCUCUCUUUGUACAAAGCUGCUGGGCAUAAGCCAGCCGUGCGCAUGCCCAGUGAAUACUUCCUGCGGAGGUGGAGGACAGUUAGCGAAGACAACAGUUCUCAGAUAAUUGGAUAGCCUACAACAGAUAUCACCAUCCAAGAUGAUUGAUGUUUCUGUGAAGACCCUUGAUGGUCAAACUAAGAGCCAUAGUGUUGCAGAUGAUACCACUGUUCGACAAUUUAAGGAAACAAUAGCCAGUAGUAUAUCAAUUCCCGCAGACACACAGAGGCUGAUUUUCCAAGGCAGAGUCCUUCAAGAUGAAAAACUUUUAAAAGACUUCAAUGUUCAUGGCAAAGUGAUACAUGUUGUGCAAAGACCCCCACCACGUCCUAACAGCACCAGCCCUAUAGAUAAUGGUGGUAACUCAACCACAGCUUCAGCACCACCUCCUCCUCCGAGAGAUGUCAAUAGUUUUGUUGUCAGUUCUUUUACUUUACCAUCAGACAUUCUGGAUCCGAAUCAGGUUCAGAAUAUUGUUCAACAAGCUGUUCACAAUAUAGGCGAGCUCGGAAGGAAUGCCAGAGUCUCUACAAGGGCAUCGGCUGACGGUUCGGCUGUUGAUGUUCAUAUCAAUUUGGGGCAGAUUCCCGUCCAGCAGAUGAAUGAAUCUCAACAAAGAAUAAACCACAUCAGAAAGUUAUUGCACUUGGUUAACAUGGCUUUAUCUCGUCUUGAGAAUCCGUCAGCCAACAGUAACCAACAAAGCACCAAUAAUCAAAGAAAUAGCAAUGAACCAGUUCCAGGAGCUCCCAGUCAAAGUGGUACUGCUCAGCCAUCUAGCGAUGAUCAACCCAGUACUGCAAGCAAUUCUCAGGGACCAAGCCCACCACCAGUGACAGUUGUUGCUGAACUAAUGACAGAACUUCAAGAAGUCCAAAGAAGACUGCAGCCAUUCUUAACACAAUAUACAACAUUGGCACAAAAUGAUGCCUCUUAUACAAGUGAACAAACUGAAGCACGCCAAGAGAGUGAGCGUAUAUUCAACGGUGUGUCUGAGUGCCUGCAUUACAUGAGUCACAUCUAUCACAGUGUCAGUGACCUUACUGUUGACUUUAGUCAGUCUCCACCACGUCAUCUCCAUGCUCACACAGCCAUGCCUGCGUUGGCAGGUUUGAUCCCUUCAACUCUAUCAACAGGAUCCAUACCAGUGAAUGGCCAGUACAGGAUUCCAGGAGGAAACAUCAUACCAAACUUUUCAGCGAUCAACCCUGGUCUUCGUUCUGCCUCAGCUGCAAGUGGCACAGCUGGGAGUCACAGUACCAGUGGUGGUAGCCACACUAGUAGCAGUGGCCUCAGCAGUAAUGUAACACAAUCAACUGCAGUACCAGCUACCUCAACAACAUCAUCCUCUAGAACUUUCACAUCUGCCAGCACUAACCCAGUACCUCUCAUCACACUACCAUCUACAGUAUUUUCUACUAGUUCUUCUCAGACAACAACUGCCCAGACUAGCAGCAAUCCUCUCUCUCUUGGACAAUCAUUUUCUACUUCAAGUUCUAGUCCCUACCUGUUUGUAGAAGUUGGUCCUGAUUCUCUGACUGUCAACAGUAUAUCUGCUCAUGUGGUCAGUUCAGAUAUGACUUCAACAUCAACCUCUAACACAUCAUCAAUGCAGAGAACUUUCCAGGUUAACAUUGGACCCAACCUUUCAACAUCUACUACAACUGCUAGUUCCAUGUCUAAUAAUACUACUACUACUGCUGGUAGCAGUAGUAGUACUAAUACCAGCAGUAGCAACUGUCCACCUGGUGGCAACACUGUUACUAGCAGCAUCAAUCUUAGUGGAACACCUGGAAUAGUUAGCACUGGUGGUACAACAUCCACAACCUCCACCUCUUCCUCCUCUUCUAGUAGUAGCAGCAGCAGCAGCAGUAGUAGUAGUAGCAGCAACAUUGGUGCUGGUGUUGGUCGGCCCACUGUGGUCUUACCUGGAAGCGUACCCAACAUUCAAGGCCUCCUAGGUGGACAGCAUCCUGCCCGUACCAUCGAUCCGUACCUUCCCUGCGUAUCCAGACAUUUCCUCUCCUCUCAGGCUCAGAAUGAUGCAACUACUGCUAACGUUGUCGCUGCAGCUGCAGCAAACGUUGCUGCUGCAGCAUCUCAACAGUCAUCGAACCAGGGAACCGACACAGCUCUUGGUGAUGUGGUGGCUGCUGUUAUGGCUGGUCUACUUGGAACAAAUGACUCUUCAAGUGCUAACAACACUAACACAUCAAGUGAGAAUACACAAACACAAGGUGGAAAUGCUGCUAACCAGCGUACUGUCGCAGCACCAGUAUCAAUUUCCCAAAUCUCCCAGGCCAUUGGAGGUAUGGCAAGUCCAGUGUUUGCCAUGGUCUCUCGUAACCUGGCUCGCUCCCAACCAACCAGUACUACAACCACUACCACCAUCAGUAGCACUGAAGCUCCUUUGGAACCAACAACUUUUGUACAGGCUCUAAGGAACUUCUUUCAAGGAUCAGCUAGAAGUACUGCAUCUGGUGGCUUACAGACUUCAACAGUAAACAACAGCGGCAACGCUGCUAGUGCAACUAACACUACAACAACUACAAGUACAAGAAGUACUGCAACUGCCAGUACCAGUUCUAAUAAUGCUACUUCAACCCCGAGCCAGUCCAGUUCAACAUCAUCUGGGACGACAAGCCAGGCUACAAGUGGCACUCAAGUGAUACCAGAUGAAGCUAUCAUUCAGUUAAUCCAGGGCAUUAUCAAUAACUUGAUGCAAGCUGCAACCGGCCAGCAAAAUGUGGGCACAAUUUGGGAUUUCUUUAGUACCAUUGGCGAAGAAAUGGAUAUAGAGCACUUUGAAGGACUCACCAACGACAUCUUUCAAUGUAUAUCACGUCACUUGACUAUUUCUGAUCUUAUGACCGUUUUGCUGGGUAACUCUGAGCCUCUCAAUAGAUUGCGAACACCUCUUAAAGAACUCUUUCUUCAUCAAAUUCUUAAUGAUGCUGAACCUACAGAAGCCAAUAUUCAGAAUGCUGUAUUACAAUUAUUAACUGAAAUGAGAGCAGAAAUUAAAGCUAUAGUUAGUAUAUCUGAAGUUCAACCUAACAUUGAUGCUGAGACUACACUGGACAACUUCCUCAAACACCAAUAUACUAAAAUAAUAAAACUGACUAUAGAAUCUGAAGAUAACAAUGAGUUUGGUCUAAGUUUAUACAACUGGUUCAAAACUUUCCUCUCUGAGCUUAUUGUUCUUGGUCGCUUUUGUCUUGUCGAUGGUCACCCAGCUUUCCAGCGAGUGGUGCAUGAUCGAUUGCAACAUUUGACCAAUGGUAUCAAUGUAAUGAUGCAGCAGUCCCUAAUUACCAUGGCAACACUACAGCUAAACGGUUUCCACCCUCAGCAGACUGAGAGCGACAUUCAACACUACAUUGCUUGGAAAGAUUCUGCUUCUGCAGCGAAUAAGGAAUCUGCGAAACCAACUCCACCAGAGGUGACGGCAGCGACGGCCGUUCCUGAGGUUGUUGAAAGUGAAGCAGCAUCCCCUAUGGAAGUAGAUUCAGAAACUUCAGCAACAUCUCAAGAAUGGGUUCCUAUAAUCAGGCAAGACAUCCAACAUCAAAGACGCCAGAAUCCUCAGACACCAUUCAGCGAUGCAUAUUUAAGUGGAAUGCCAGCUAAGCGCAGAAAGAAUGACAUUGUAGGGUAGGUGUGAGAGGUUGCAUCUGGCUGCUUUGAACAUAAGACUGGAAAGAAUAAUAUUUAGGCCAGAUGAAUCCUGGUAAAGCAACCAACUUAAGUGAGGUGUCAGAAUUUGUACCCGAUUCACUGAAGAAAGCUGUAGCCUCAGCUGGAGUUGAACCACUAAGCAGUUUAGAAAAUUUAUCAACUGAGGCAGCUCGUGACAGCAUAU
rnacentral:misc_RNA from 1 species